UAGCUAAAUGCGGAAGAGAUAAGUGCUGAAAGCAUCUAAGCACGAAACUUGCCCCGAGAUGAGUUCUCCCUGACUCCUUGAGGGUCCUGAAGGAACGUUGAAGACGACGACGUUGAUAGGCCGGGUGUGUAAGCGCAGCGAUGCGUUGAGCUAACCGGUACUAAUGAACCGUGAGGCUUAACCUUACAACGCCGAAG
rnacentral:rRNA from 1 species